rnacentral:lncRNA from 1 species
AUCCUCCCCAAUACUGUUCCCUAUUCCCCACUCGCACAAAAUUUCGUUUCCCUCUUAAAUUUCACCUCAUCUCAAAGUAUUUCACCUCCAAAUCAUCUCCCAAAACUGUCUCCGCCCACAUCGCCAAUAUCCUAACCGUGACCUCCUUCAGUUUCUGGUUCCUGUCCUCGUCUCUAUAUUCGUCACCCUGUUUUCGCCCCCUUUUAGUUCUCCAAAAUCCCUAUUUACCCAUAGAAGCUAAACAUUGGCUAAGCAACUACAGAUGACGACAAAAGCUUGCUAAGAGAGUUGCAAUUUUCAUCACCUGUUUCUCAUGUAGAGGCUCCGUAAUCGGAUAACUCAGACGCACUCUCAACCAAUCCAAACCAAGUUGUGUUUAAUUGCCGAAUACGCACU